CCUACGGGAGGCAGCAGUGGGGAAUAUUGCACAAUGGGGGAAACCCUGAUGCAGCGACGCCGCGUGAGUGAAGAAGUAUUUCGGUACGUAAAGCUCUAUCAGCAGGGAAGAAAAUGACGGUACCUGACUAAGAAGCCCCGGCUAACUACGUGCCAGCAGCCGCGGUAAUACGUAGGGGGCAAGCGUUAUCCGGAUUUACUGGGUGUAAAGGGAGCGUAGACGGCAGCGCAAGUCUGGAGUGAAAUCCCAUGGCUUAACCAUGGAACUGCUUUGGAAACUGUGCAGCUAGAGUGCAGGAGAGGUAAGCGGAAUUCCUAGUGUAGCGGCGAAAUGCGUAGAUAUUAGGAGGAACACCAGUGGCGAAGGCGGCUUACUGGACUGUAACUGACGUUGAGGCUCGAAAGCGUGGGGAGCAAACAGGAUUAGAUACCCGAGUAGUC
rnacentral:rRNA from 1 species